AGAGUUUGAUCCUGGCUCAGGAUGAACGCUAGCUACAGGCUUAACACAUGCUAGUCGAGGGGCAGCAUGGUCUUAGCUUGCUAAGGCCGAUGGCGACCGGCGCACGGGUGAGUAACGCGUAUCCAACCUGCCUUACACUCUUGGACAGCCUUCUGAAAGGGAGAUUAAUACAAGAUGUUAUCAUGAGUAAGCAUUUUCGCAUGAUUAAAGGUUUACCGGUGUAAGAUGGGGAUGCGUUCCAUUAGAUAGUAGGCGGGGUAACGGCCCACCUAGUCUUCGAUGGAUAGGGGUUCUGAGAGGAAGGUCCCCCACAUUGGAACUGAGACACGGUCCAAACUCCUACGGGAGGCAGCAGUGAGGAAUAUUGGUCAAUGGACGAGAGUCUGAACCAGCCAAGUAGCGUGAAGGAUGAAGGUUCUAUGGAUUGUAAACUUCUUUUAUACGGGAAUAAACGAAUCCACGUGUGGAUUUUUGCAUGUACCGUAUGAAUAAGGAUCGGCUAACUCCGUGCCAGCAGCCGCGGUAAUACGGAGGAUCCGAGCGUUAUCCGGAUUUAUUGGGUUUAAAGGGAGCGUAGAUGGGUUGUUAAGUCAGUUGUGAAAGUUUGCGGCUCAACCGUAAAAUUGCAAUUGAUACUGGCAGUCUUGAGUACAGUUGAGGUAGGCGGAAUUCGUGGUGUAGCGGUGAAAUGCUUAGAUAUCACGAAGAACUCCGAUUGCGAAGGCAGCUUACUAACCUGUAACUGACAUUGAUGCUCGAAAGUGUGGGUAUCAAACAGGAUUAGAUACCCUGGUAGUCCACACGGUAAACGAUGAAUACUCGCUGUAGGCGAUAUACAGUCUGCGGCCAAGCGAAAGCAUUAAGUAUUCCACCUGGGGAGUACGCCGGCAACGGUGAAACUCAAAGGAAUUGACGGGGGCCCGCACAAGCGGAGGAGCAUGUGGUUUAAUUCGAUGCAACGCGAAGAACCUUACCAGGUCUUGACAUCCCAUUGACCACUGUAGAGAUACAGUUUUCCCUUCGGGGACAACGGUGACAGGUGGUGCAUGGUUGUCGUCAGCUCGUGUCGUGAGAUGUUGGGUUAAGUCCCGCAACGAGCGCAACCCUUAUCCUUAGUUGCCAUCAUUCAGUUGGGCACUCUAAGGAGACUGCCGGUGAUAAACCGGAGGAAGGUGGGGAUGACGUCAAAUCAUCAUGCCCCUUAUGACCUGGGCUACACACGUGCUACAAUGGACGGUACAAACGGUUGCCAACCCGCGAGGGGGAGCUAAUCCGAUAAAACCGUUCUCAGUUCGGAUUGUAGGCUGCAACUCGCCUACAUGAAGCCGGAAUCGCUAGUAAUCGCGGAUCAGCAUGCCGCGGUGAAUACGUUCCCGGGCCUUGUACACACCGCCCGUCAAG
rnacentral:rRNA from 1 species